UAGCGGGGGCAUACACAUGCAAGGUCGAGCGGUAGAGAGAAGCUUGCUUCUCUUGAGAGCGGCGGACGGGUGAGUAAUGCCUAGGAAUCUGCCUGGUAGUGGGGGAUAACGUUCGGAAACGGACGCUAAUACCGCAUACGUCCUACGGGAGAAAGCAGGGGACCUUCGGGCCUUGCGCUAUCAGAUGAGCCUAGGUCGGAUUAGCUAGUUGGUGAGGUAAUGGCUCACCAAGGCGACGAUCCGUAACUGGUCUGAGAGGAUGAUCAGUCACACUGGAACUGAGACACGGUCCAGACUCCUACGGGAGGCAGCAGUGGGGAAUAUUGGACAAUGGGCGAAAGCCUGAUCCAGCCAUGCCGCGUGUGUGAAGAAGGUCUUCGGAUUGUAAAGCACUUUAAGUUGGGAGGAAGGGUUGUAGAUUAAUACUCUGCAAUUUUGACGUUACCGACAGAAUAAGCACCGGCUAACUCUGUGCCAGCAGCCGCGGUAAUACAGAGGGUGCAAGCGUUAAUCGGAAUUACUGGGCGUAAAGCGCGCGUAGGUGGUUUGUUAAGUUGGAUGUGAAAUCCCCGGGCUCAACCUGGGAACUGCAUUCAAAACUGACUGACUAGAGUAUGGUAGAGGGUGGUGGAAUUUCCUGUGUAGCGGUGAAAUGCGUAGAUAUAGGAAGGAACACCAGUGGCGAAGGCGACCACCUGGACUAAUACUGACACUGAGGUGCGAAAGCGUGGGGAGCAAACAGGAUUAGAUACCCUGGUAGUCCACGCCGUAAACGAUGUCAACUAGCCGUUGGAAGCCUUGAGCUUUUAGUGGCGCAGCUAACGCAUUAAGUUGACCGCCUGGGGAGUACGGCCGCAAGGUUAAAACUCAAAUGAAUUGACGGGGGCCCGCACAAGCGGUGGAGCAUGUGGUUUAAUUCGAAGCAACGCGAAGAACCUUACCAGGCCUUGACAUCCAAUGAACUUUUCUAGAGAUAGAUUGGUGCCUUCGGGGAAACAUUGAGACAGGUGCUUGCAUGGGCUGUCGUUCAGCUCGUGUUCGGUGAAGAUGUUUGGGGUUAAAGUUCCCGGUAACGAAGCCGCAAGCCCCCUUGAUCCUUUUAGCUUAACUCCAGGCCAAUCGG
rnacentral:rRNA from 1 species